UACAGAGGGGGCAAGCGUUGUUCGGAAUUACUGGGCGUAAAGGGCGCGUAGGCGGCCUUCUAAGUCGAACGUGAAAUCCCUCGGCUUAACCGGGGAACUGCGUGUGAUACUGGAUGGCUUGAGUUUGGGAGAGGGAUGCGGAAUUCCAGGUGUAGCGGUGAAAUGCGUAGAUAUCUGGAGGAACACCGGUGGCGAAGGCGGCAUCCUGGACCAAUACUGACGCUGAGGAGCGAAAGCCAGGGGAGCAAACGGG
rnacentral:rRNA from 1 species